rnacentral:rRNA from 1 species
AUUGAACGCUGGCGGCAGGCCUAACACAUGCAAGUCGAGCGGAGCGGCGGAUGGGUGAGUAAUGCCUAGGAAUCUGCCUGGUCGUGGGGGAUACCAUCCGGAAAGGGGCGCUAAUCCCGCACAUUAUCAGCUGCGCCUAGGUCGGAUUAGCUAGUUGGUUGGGUAAAGGACUACCAAGGCGACGAUCCGUAACUGGUCUGAGAGGAUGAUCAGUCACACUGGAACUGAGACACGGUCCAGACUCCUACGAGAGGCAGCAGUGGGGAAUAUUGGACAAUGGGAGAAAGCCUGAUCCAGCCAUGCCGCGUGUGUGAAGAAGGUCUUCGGAUUGUAAAGUACUUUAAGUUGGGAGGCGUUACCAACAGAAUAAGCACCGGCUAACUUCGUGCCAGCCGCCGCGGUAAUUC